rnacentral:lncRNA from 1 species
AAUGUUUUGACAACUUAGGUUUGAUUAAUUUAUACCUAAUGGUCUUGAUAUUUUUGUAAGCUUAACAAAAAAUAGCAAUUUAUAUGACAUGGAACAAAUUACUGAAUUCCAACUCUAUUUUAAGACUAUUAAUUUUUUCUUUUAUGUUCUGUGCCUAUUUAAAACAGUGCCUCUAUUUGAAGGUGCUAAUAUUACAUAUUUGAAUAUGAGAUGUAGAUUCAGAUAGUAUUGUUUUUGUCUCCAUUAUCUUGAGAUAAGAUAAAUUACCAUUUUGAUCAUGGGACACUCAAGAUGCAGGGGUCCUCAAACUUUUGAAAUAGGGGGCCAGUUCACUGUCCCUCAGACUGUUGGAGGGCCAGACUAUAAUAAAAAUAAAAACUUUGUUUUGUGGGCCUUUAAAUAAAGACUUGGGUGAGGGGUAUAAUCGUCCUCAGCUGCCGCAUCUGGCCCACGGGCUGUAGUUUGAGGACCGCUGCCGGGCAAGAGCAUUUAAAACAUUAAAUUUUUAUAAUGAAAUAAAUGGAUCUGAAAAUGUUCUUUGUGGGAAACCUAACUGAACUAGGACUUGGAGACACUACUUGGUAAACUUUCUCAUGUUUUCAAUAAGGUUUUUUACUUGUUUUCUAUAGGCACAUUUAAAUGUAGAAUAUAUGCUAUUAUAUUCUAGUAAGCACCUGCUGUGUAUAAACUGUAUUGGAUUGGAUUGGAUUCACUUGAAUUCCUAGCAUUUAUUAAAUUUUAGACAACUAAUACAAUUCAAUUAUCAGGAAGAAAUAGUUUUUUAAAAUAUUAAAACAUCUUAAAAUAUGUCCAUGAAAAAAUUUAUUUUCUCUCAAAUCUACAAAACUCCUCAUUUUUUCCCUGAGAUCAUUAUUUCAAGAAAGAAAACAACUUCAUUUUUAAAAAAGAUUUUAUUUUAGUUUACAGAUUUUGGGAAAGUAAUACAAAACAGUCUUUUGGUGGCUUUUUUCUUAAACUGGGUAUUUUAAUUUUUUUAAAUCAUGCCUCUGCUAUAGACACUGCUUCAUAAUAUAAUGAAAAAUAUAGUUCUUGCAUUUAAGAUGUUAAGCCAUUUCUUCAGUAUAUUUUCUUCAGUAUAUUUAUUUCUUUUUUCUUUUUAUUCCUAAUAUGUGAGUACUAAAAGACUCAAAUCCUUUCUCUUCCUCAUCUUUGUCUUUUAAAUCUGUUUCCCUCAGAAACCAAGAAAUGACUGAGUUCAUGAAAUCUGCUCUUCAUAAUAUUAAAACAUUCCAGUUCUUUUUUUUUUCUUAAGAUUUACUUAAAGUUUUAAAUAUUUGUAGAGAGUACACAUUUUUAUAUCCAGCUUUUUAAAAAAGUUUACUCAUGGACAUGCCAGCGUUCUCUAACAUGGUAGGUACUGCAAUGAAAAUACCACUUUUGGUUUGGUAUGGUUUGCUUAUUCUUCAGAGUAAACAUUUACAAUGAAGACUUGAAUGUGAAAGUAUCUGUCCAAAAGUAGUGUGUAUUCUCUCUCUAGCUUAAAGCUAAUGUUGCACUUUAAAUUGUUGUUUUUAUUUUCCAUUAAUGAAAUAAAUUAUUUAAACAAUUUUGAAGGAUAUGGGUAAUUAAGAACUUUAUUAUUUAAAAUACUACUUUUUCUAAUCAUAUCUGUUAAUUUGAAAGAGUAUAGAAAAGAUGUAAAUUUAUAGAAAUAAAUUAAAAGAAAUUCUAUCUGAUCCUAAGUAGAUUAUCAAAAAUACAGGUAAGGUAAGAAAGAAUGUUUGCUUUUUUUUACAUAGUUUUAAAGAAACUACAGAUUUUCUGGUACUGCAGGAUUGUUGAAGAAUCAUUAAUGCCUUCUGAAAAUUUUUUAAAAUUAAAAUAAUUCUUCCAGUAUAAUAUUCUAUUGUUCAUGAUUCUGAAGAUUUACGAAGAAAUAUUAGGAUUCGUUUUUUGUUUUUUUUUAAACUUUGUUCAGCUCCUUCUAUUCUGCUUAUUCCCAGUUUGCUCUCUGAUAGAUAGCCUUCAUGAAGUCUUUUAUAGUGUUUCUGUCUAGAUUUUAACCUUACAUGGGGAAAGGCAGAACUGAAGAUAGACAUUUAAGGUGAAGGCAAGAUCCUGGUUUCUAUAAAAGUCCUUACUACAUAACACUGAAGAAAAUGAAUGGAAAUAAAAGUUAUUGCAUAAGGCAUAUUCAUGACAUAUUAACACAUCUGAGGUUGUAUGUAAAUGUUAUCAUUUAUAGUUAAUUAAAAUGAAUUGAGAAUGUCUUAAGAUUUUCUUUUUUAAUUUUUGUUUUCUUCAUGAAUGUAUUCAAAGUAGGAAGGAGAAUUUGACUUAUCUGUUUUUAGCCUUGGGUCUUUUGUAAUAUGCUUUACUGAUAGUAGUCAGUCGAGUUCUUUCUUCAUUCUUGCUCCAUAUUUUAUGUCUAUAGAAUCCCUUAAUGAACUCAUUAACUUUUAUCUUUGAGAAUAAUGUUUAUAUCAAUUGUACACAAGUUUAUUUUAAAAAUUCCUUUUGUGAAAUUAUUUUUGUGUGCUUAAAACAUUAAAUUAUACAUACUAUGUUUCACAGAUGAGAAUUAAAUUAUUUGCCACAGAAACAUUUCAUACUGGUAAACAUUCUACUAAUUGUUUACGUGGAUUUUUAGUAUAACUCGUUUUAAUUUUGCACUAUAACAAGAUGUGAUGGGAGAGAACAGCAAAACUGAGAAAGAUAAGAAUAAAUCAGAAUAUGAACAGAUGAAAAGUGUUUAUCCCAAGAUCAAAGUAAUCUUUAUCUUCAUAUUACUAAGAAAUAUAGGUCAAUGGGGAAUAUACAAAAUAUAAAAGGGGAAAAAUAUAAAUAAUACUUUUUACCAAAGGAACUGGGUACUUUUGUUAAGAUCAACAUGCAGAUUUUCAUACACCCACACACCCCAAUUUCCAUUAGGCAUCAUCUUUUCAUCCUGUUUUUUUGUUGAUGUUUUCCUGAAGAAUUUUACCCCCUUGGGAUAUUCUGUUCAGCUUACUGUGAUGGAAGUCAGCUAACACCAGUAACAUUCCAUUAUCUUACUUGAUUAAGAUUUAGCACAAUGCUCUUGUGCACUUGCUUUCUGUCAACUCCUACACAAAAUAGCACAAUUUCUGUGAAAUAUUUUUUCUAUUUAUUGGCAAAUAAUAAUUGGUUUUGUUUGUAAAAUGUGAAAUUGGCAAAUACCACUAUUGCAUCAUUUAAAUAAUGAUACCAAAAAAUAUACAUUUGGAGAUGGGAGGAGUCAAAAUAUCCUAAUCUCUGAAGGAUCAUUUAUGUGAAGGAAUUGAAACAAUGAUAUACAUUAUAUGGGUAUUUAAAAAUAUCAUUUGGAGACCACAGUUCAUUGUCAAAACAAUCAUAUCCUUAAAUAAAACACUUUUUAAAAAAAGUCAAAUUAGCAUCAUACCAUGUUGAGUAAAGUAUUGACUGAAAAUGACUCAUAUUAAGUUCUCAAAUUCCACAUUUAAUUCUAAUAUUAAAAAGUGCAUGUGAAAAAUUUUAAGAUCUAUGAAUGUAAAAUAGUGACAACUAUUGUAUAUAAUCUGUAACAUAUGUAUAUUUGGUCAGUAAAGGAUGAGAAUUAUAAACAUUUUAAAAUUAAG